ensembl:lncRNA
UAUAUUUGACCUGCUUUCUCAUUAUUGUUUAUCUAUUUAUACAUGUCUAAUCUUCUGUCUGCAAUCCUGGCUCAGCUUUUUAAUAUUUGUACAAGUCAUCUUGAUGUAGGAAAACAUCAAGAUGACUGUAUACCUUAAAGUCAAAUAUUUUAGUGUGAUUCACUUGAAUAAUUAGAACCUUCACCUAUGUUAUUCCUCAAUUGAAUUGUAGUUUUUUUCAGAAUGUCAAAAGACUAAAGGAGGAGACUAGCUUCCUUGAAGAUAAGUGGGCAGAGCUGGACAUAAACGAAGCUGUGCUUCAGGAGUGGGUUGCUGAGGUCCAGCAGUGGCCUGAAAGUAUGUUCGGUUCUGAACAAAUAGAGCAUAUAUGGCCCACACCGAAAACCAUCUGACUACAGUCCUAUCCCAUACUAUGUUUCCAACACGUUCUAAUUUUUCAAGUGAAUCAUACUAAAAUAUUUGACUUUAAGCAGUGUCUUCUCUCUUCAACUGCUAACUUUAUCUCGAGUUGAGUUCCACUUCCCUCAUUGCCCUAGUUCCUCAGCGACAGGCGUGCCUUAUCAGGAAGUGAAACUAGACUGCUCCCCUUUGUCUCCUUCCUUAGAAAUAUCAAAAUUCAGCAGAAUAUUAAUAUUUGAACAGAAAAUGAAAUUUCUUCACAUCCCCUUGCCUCACUCAGUAACUUUCCAUGCACAAAGUUCAUAUUAACUCUCAACUCUCAAAUAACUAUAUUUCAAGCCAGAAUCCAACAUGUAGAAAAGUGAAUGUUUAUCUGUCUCUCAACUUCAUAAUUGUAUUGAUGUCAGUGGAGUCAUGUUUGUAACCUGUCCUAUGUUUGACAGCCAACCUUCAGGAUAGUCAGACAGGGCAUCUCCAGAAGAAGAUUGAGGGGCUUUACCUCAGUGUGAACCAGAGGAAACACUACCUCUACUGUUUGACAGACGGCAACAAGAGAAGGCAUCAGAUUCUGAGAAAAAUUGUUGAGGACAAGGCAGCCUUGACAGCUGCCAUUGUUCAACUUCCCACACAGUAGGCAGAGUUUAGGCUCCCCACAGUGGAUGAGCUGCUCAAUACUGACAACUUUUUGUGGCCAUGGGAGAGACCUAGCACCAGUAAGUAUAUGAUUACAGAAGGUACAGUAUCUAUUGUGACUGAAAUUUUACCUUCAGUGUAGGCUGCAAUCAUUGCUGUUGUUCUACUAUAUACCUCUGUGAGUUUACAUCUCACAGGCAACAGCCAUCUUGCCAUCAAAAAGGCAAUCUUCAACAGACUGAUGUUGGUGAACAGACUGCAGGAGGAAGAGAGGGUCCUGGUGCAGGAGAUGAAGAGGCACUGGGGAGCCUACAAAGUACAGGGGGAACUCUGGAGGCACUGUCCGUACAGUUGCAAGAUCAGAGCAAUGCAGUGGAGUUGUCAGAGGGAGGGAGGAAUGGCCUUCUCUUCCUCCUGAAGAGAAGAUUGAGUGAACUGACACAAGAACAAGACAACACCAGGAACAACUACCAAAAGCUGAUUCUGGGAGAAGGGGCUAUUUUAAUGACUCUGAUGCAAAUGAAAACUCAGAUGAAGAUAGAAGUCCUAUUACUGAGAGCUCAGAUGGCGACUGCUAUGCUUUCUGAAAUCAUACACCACCCCGGCCUCUUUCUCUCGGACUCUCUCUCUCCCGCAGGAGAGGGGGAAGGCUGCCACCACCUCCCUCAUGAGCAGCCAGGGUUCCGACAUUGACCCCUGACCCCUUAUCUUCUGAACGCAUCCAGGGAAAUGUAUUUUGCCUGAUGAUGGUCUAGUGGAGAUUUGUUGCCAUGUUUCCUCUCCUCACCUCCUCCCCUUCCGGUCCUAGACUAUGGCGACAUCAUCAGCAACUCAGAAUGUUGGUUGAGGAUCUCUUUACUGAGGAAUGUGGUUGUUCUUCAUGAUUAAAAAUAUCUAUAUAUUUUCUAUGCUACUGGGAUUGUGAUUUUUUUGUGUAAUUUUGAGUUGCAAAAGAGUCCUAGGUCUCAAUGGGUCUGCUAAAAUAAAU